ensembl:lncRNA
GGAGGAUGAGGUAGAAGGAAGGAGGAGGAAGAAGAAGAGGAGGAGGACGAUGAAGAGAAAGAGGAGUUUAUAUUCCUGAAUGCUUGGAUAGCAUUGAAUUGGGUAUGGUUUAAAAGUUUUAGAGUUAAUAUCCAAUUCUAGAGGGACUAUCCACAGUCGUACACAAGUACACUCAGAGAUGUUUAUUGCUGCUAGUACAACAGGUGUCUUUUCACAAUGAGUAGUUGGGAUAACAGUUAUAAUUUCAGCUCUCUUUUCUCCUGAAGAAGGGAGGAGAGAAGAGAAAAAACUGUUCCUCCUUCCGCUGGGUCAAAGUUCAACCGUUUUUAAUCAGUUACAGUCCAAAGAGGUUGCUAUGGGGAAUCAUGGCGUGAGGUCUGAUUGGACUGACUCUACUUUUUGUCAGGUUGACCAGGACAUCCUUCUUCAUGUUGCCUGCUGGGAUGUGUAGUUCACAAGGGAGCCUCUGGAUCUCCUCAGUUCCAUCACUGUCAGACACAGGGAAGCACAAGAAUUACACUCAGGGAAAACACACACACACACAAACACACAGUAUUGAUUUUCACACCAUCCCUUAAUCUGAACACUUUUCAAACACAGACUGAUAUUUUCAGACAGGCAUUCUUUUUCCCGGCUACUACUUCAGACCCAUCCAGACCCCCUAAAAAUGUUUUAAAUUAUUUGAAAAAUCUAAUCUUCAUUCAGUAUGAAAAAAAAAAGAAAAUGUAUGCACUCACUACUAUAAGUCGCUCUGUAUAAUAGCGUCUGCUUAAUGACUAAAAUAUAAAUGUACAUUUUGUAAACGUUUUGUCCACACUGCUAAGACGAGCUAAUUGUCAAACACAGACAAAUACCCGCAGUCUACUAUUGCAGCAUAAUAACUAAAAUAAAGAUCUGUGUGUAUAAUUCAUUGUAUUUGAUGUUAGAGAUACUAUUGCCGUUCACCAAACCUCAUUAAAAGUGUCCAUUUUUUCCCCCAGUAAAAGGUUGUUCAGCGCUAUCGGUCAUCUGCUAGGUAAAUUAGCACCAUUAUUCUGCUGCCAGUUUAUGAAUAUCAAUCGGGCCAGGAUAGAAAGACGCCCCUUAUCUGAUGGCCAGGGAAAUGAACGGGGCUUUCUGCUGACUGCACAAUACAGUGGGAGACGAGACAGAAUACUAGAGACCUAAAUAUGCAGGGCCAGAAACCAGAGACACCCUAAUAGACCAGCAGCAUAGCUGGACAUGUUUUAAUGGGUGGGCCUGCUACACAUUUAGCAAUGGGGCAAAACGAAACACGUGCAUCUCAUGUUGUGCUACACAUUUAGCAAUGGGGCAAAAAAGAAACACUUGCAUCUCAUGUUGUGCUACACAUUUAGCAAUGAGGCUGAGAGACGUUUUUACAUGUUUAAGUUAAUAUACAGAGCCAUCAGAAAGUAUUCAUUCUCCUUGACUUAUUCCACAUUUGGUUGUGUUACAGUCUGAAUUGUUUUCUACACACAAUACGUCAUAUUUAAAAAAGUGAAAACAUGUUUGUAGAAAUGUUUGCAAAUUUGAGUCAGAAAAUGAUGUUCAUAUAAUCGGUAAAAUAUACAAAACCUUGCAGAGAGCCUAUCCAACUGACAAGCUCUUGUAAAAAACUAUGAACAAUUGGAACCCAGAUACAAAGAACUGAUGUUGACACAAAAUGGAGGGAAUGUUGAAACAAUGUAAAAGGUCAAAUGCAACAAUAAAUGAUGAAAGUGUUUGGGCGACACGAGAGACAAAAUGAUGCAGUCUGAGGCCAUGUGGAGUCCUGGAGGCCAUGUGGAGUGCUGGAGGCCAUGUGGAGUGCUGGAGGCCAUGUGGAGUGAUGGAGGCCAUGUGGAGUGAUGGAGGCCAUGUGGAGUGCUAGAGGCCAUGUGGAAUGCUGGAGGCCAUGUGGAGUGCUGGAGGCCAUGUGGAGUGCUGGAGGCCAUGUGGAGCGCUGGAGGCCAUGUGGAGUGCUGGAGGCCAUGUGGAGUGCUGGAGGCCAUGUGGAGUGAUGGAGGCCAUGUGGAGUGCUGGAGGUGUGAGCAGGUGGGUCUGUUUGUGUCCAUCUGUAUUUUGUAAUUUGUACGUCUAUGUUCUGUAUUGGGGGAAAAAACAACAUAAAUACGCCCCCCCCCCAAAUGUAUUGUAAAAUUAAAUAUAAAAAUACCUCAUUUCAUUAAGCAUUCACACCCCUGAGUCAAAUCAACUUUGGCAGCGAUUGCAGCUGUGAGUCUUUCUGGGUAAGAAGUUUUCACCCUUGCAUUGUGCAAUAUUUGAACAAUAUUUAUAAUUAUUAGACAGACAUUUUAAAAUCGUACCAUAGACUUUCAUGUUUAAGUGAAAACUGUAACUAGGCCACUCAGGAACAUUCAAUGUCAUCUUUUUAAGCAACAUCAGUGUAUAUUUGGCCUUGUGGUUGGGGUUUUUGCCCUGCUGAAAGGUGAAUUUGUCUCCCAGUGUCAGUAUUUUGCCUGUAUCUCUAUUCCUUUUAUUUUCAUCCUGGAAACCUUCACAGUCCUUGCCAGUGACAAGCAUACCCAUCACAUGAUGCAGCCACCAUUAUGCUUGAAAAUAUGAACAGUGGUACUUAGUGAUGUGUUGUGUUGGGUUUGCCCCAAACAUAACACUUUGUAAGGACAUCAACUGAGUUAGGAAGGAUGUCUGUUUAUGUGUUGUGACUGGGCGUAUUGAUACACCAUCCAAAGUAUAAUUCAUAUCUUUCCCAUGCUCAAAGGGAUAUUCAGUGUCUGGUUUAUUUAUUUUUUACCUAUCCACCAAUAGCUGCAUUGAAAAACCUCCCUGGUCUUUGCGGUGGAAUAUAUGUUUGAAAUGCACUGCUCGACUGAGGGACCUUACAGAUGUGUGUGGUACAGAGAUGAGGUAGUCCUUCAAAAAG